rnacentral:rRNA from 1 species
CCUACGGGAGGCAGCAGUGGGGAAUAUUGGGCAAUGGGCGCAAGCCUGACCCAGCAACGCCGCGUGAAGGAAGAAGGCUUUCGGGUUGUAAACUUCUUUUCUCAGGGACGAAGCAAGUGACGGUACCUGAGGAAUAAGCCACGGCUAACUACGUGCCAGCAGCCGCGGUAAUACGUAGGUGGCAAGCGUUAUCCGGAGUUACUGGGUGUAAAGGGCGUGUAGGCGGGAAAGCAAGUCAGAUGUGAAAACCAUGGGCUCAACCUGUGGUCUGCAUUUGACACUGUUUUUCUUGAGUACUGGAGAGGCAGAUGGAAUUCCUAGUGUAGCGGUGAAAUGCGUAGAGAUUAGGAGGAAGACCAGUGGCGAAGGCGGUCUGCUGGACAGCAACUGACGCUGAGGCGCGAAAGCGUGGGGAGCAAACAGGAUUAGAUACCCCUGUAGUC